rnacentral:rRNA from 1 species
CAGCAGCCGCGGUAAUACGUAGGUGGCAAGCGUUGUCCGGAAUUAUUGGGCGUAAAGGGCUCGCAGGCGGUUUCUUAAGUCUGAUGUGAAAGCCCCCGGCUCAACCGGGGAGGGUCAUUGGAAACUGGGAAACUUGAGUGCAGAAGAGGAGAGUGGAAUUCUCGGAGUAGCGGUAAAAUGCGUAGAUCUCGAGAGGAACACCAAUGGCGAAGGCAGCUUCUUGGUCCAUUCCUGACGUUCAUACACGAAAGCGUGGGGAGCAAACAGGAUUAGAUACCCCUGUAGUCCCUGUCUCUUAUCC